rnacentral:misc_RNA from 1 species
GAUGAAGAACGCAGUGAAGUGCGAUAAGUAAUGUGAAUUGCAGAAUUCCGUGAAUCAUCGAAUUUUUGAACGCAAAUUGCACUUUCUGAUAUUCCGGAGAGUAUGCCUGUUUGAGGGUCAGUAAAAUAAAAUCGAUGUUGUUGUCAUCAUGAUAACACGUCGGAAUUGGGUCGUCUUAUCUUCGGUUAAGUGACUUAAAAUUUUUACGCGAAUUCGAAACGUAUUUAAUGUUUAUGUACGUUUGCGAUAUUCCAAUAUUAUUAGGUGCGGUCAUUCCUAUGAUUCGCGUCUAUAAUUUUUCAUUUCUUGACCUCAAAUCAGGUAAGAGUACCCGCUGAACUUAAGCAUAUCAAUAAGCGGAGGA